UCCGCCCCAGCUUCCGCGUCGCAGCCCCGGGAGCAGGAGCGAGAGCGGUGCCGGAACUGUCCCUCUUCGGGGCGGGAGCCAGAGCUGGGGGUCGGGGUCAGACCGGGAGCCUGGGCUGAAGCGGCGGGCACUGACUCCCUGCGAGAUGAAUGGGACAGAAGGCAAUGCUGAGCAACCGGGCCCCGCUGAGCGUUCCCAUCGAAGCAGCGUGUCCUCCGUGGGAGCUCGAGCGGCUGAUGUGCUGGUAUACCUGGCGGAUGACACAGUGCUGCCCCUGGCUGUGGAGAACCUGCCAUCGCUCAGUGCCCAUGAGCUGCACCGGGCUGUCCGUGAGGUCCUGCAGCUCCCAGACAUCGCCCUGGAUGCCUUCGCACUCUGGCUUGUGUCCCCUCUGCUGGAGGUGCAGCUGGACCCCACCGCUGCUGACACUCCGUGGGCUGUGGUGCUGUCCCCACCCUGACAUGGCCUGGCUGCCUCCAGCAGCCUCAGCUGCAGCCCCUACAGCCCGAGUCCUUGGGCUCCCGGCGGCUCCUUGA
rnacentral:lncRNA from 1 species